rnacentral:rRNA from 1 species
UACGUAGGGUGCGAGCGUUAAUCGGAAUUACUGGGCGUAAAGCGUGCGCAGGCGGUUUUGUAAGUCAGAUGUGAAAUCCCCGGGCUUAACCUGGGAAUGCAUUUGGGACUGCAAGGCUUGAGUGCGGCAGAGGAGACUGGAAUUCCCGGUGUAGCAGUGAAAUGCGUAGAUAUCGGGAGGAAUACCGAUGGCGAAGGCAGGUCUCUGGGCUGACACUGACGCUCAUGCACGAAAGCGUGGGGAGCAAACAGG